AACAUGUCUGUGUGAAUUAGUUANAAAGUCUAGCNGGNNCACUGAUUUUUAAAGGGCCGCGGUAAUUUGACCGUGCGAAGGUAGCAUAGUCAGUAGUCUUUUAAUUGAAGGCUUGAAUGAAUGGUUGGACGAGGGACGAGCCGUCUCCUCUACAAGGUUUGAAUUUAACUUUUGAGNGAAAAGGCUCAAAUUAUUUAAUGGGACGAUAAGACCCUAUAAAACUUAAUAUGGGUUUAGUUUAGUUUAUGAUUUGGGUAAAAAGUGAUUUUAUUGGGCUUAUAUUUCGUUGGGGAGAUGUGGAUAUAAUUUGUAACUGUCUAUGAAAUUUAAUAGUUAUAGUUAGAGUGUGAUCCUCCACUGGGGAUUAAUAGAGUAAGUUACUUUAGGGAUAACAGCGUAAUUUUCUU
rnacentral:rRNA from 1 species